rnacentral:rRNA from 1 species
CCUACGGGAGGCAGCAGUGGGGAAUAUUGGGCAAUAGGCGCAAGCCUGACCCAGCAACGCCGCGUGAAGGACGAAGGCUUUCGGGUUGUAAACUUCUUUUGUCAGGGAAGAGUAGAAGACGGUACCUGACGAAUAAGCCACGGCUACCAACGUGCCAGCAGCAGCGGUAAUCCGUAGGUGGCAAGCGUUGUCCGGAUUUACUGGGUGUAAAGGGCGUGUAGCCGGGUUGACAAGUCAGAUGUGAAAUCCUGCGGCUUAACCGCAGAACUGCAUUUGAAACUGUUGAUCUUGAGUACUGGAGAGGCAGAAGGAAUUCCUAGUGUAGCGGUGAAAUGCGUAGAUAUUAGGAGGAACACCAGUGGCGAAGGCGGUCUGCGGGACAGCAACUGACGGUGAGGCGCGAAAGCGUGGGGAGCAAACAGGAUUAGAUACCCUUGUAGUC